GACGAACGCUGGCGGCGUGCUUAACACAUGCAAGUCGAACGGAAAGGCCCUGCUUUUGUGGGGUGCUCGAGUGGCGAACGGGUGAGUAACACGUGAGUAACCUGCCCUUGACUUUGGGAUAACUUCAGGAAACUGGGGCUAAUACCGGAUAGGAGCUCCUGCUGCAUGGUGGGGGUUGGAAAGUUUCGGCGGUUGGGGAUGGACUCGCGGCUUAUCAGCUUGUUGGUGGGGUAGUGGCUUACCAAGGCUUUGACGGGUAGCCGGCCUGAGAGGGUGACCGGCCACAUGGGGACUGAGAGACGGCCCAGACGCCUACGGGAGGCAGCAGUGGGGAAUAUUGCACAAUGGGCGGAAGCCUGAUGCAGCAACGCCGCGUGCGGGAUGACGGCCUUCGGGUGGUAAACCGCUUUCGCCUGUGACGAAGCGUGAGUGACGGUAAUGGGUAAAGAAGCACCGGCUAACUACGU
rnacentral:rRNA from 1 species